rnacentral:rRNA from 1 species
GACGAACCGAGCGAACGUUGUUCGGAAUCACUGGGCUUAAAGGGUGCGUAGGCGGGCUGCCAAGUUUGGGGUGAAAUCCUCCGGCUCAACCGGGGAAGUGCCUUGAAUACUGGCGGUCUCGAGGGAGGUAGGGGCGUGCGGAACUAACGGUGGAGCGGUGAAAUGCGUUGAUAUCGUUAGGAACUCCGGUGGCGAAGGCGGCACGCUGGACCUUUACUGACGCUGAGGCACGAAAGCCAGGGGAGCGAACGGG